rnacentral:lncRNA from 1 species
UGCCCGGCUGCUCUGACCGCGAGCGGCUGGGUGUCGGUGCCCUGCUCUCCUCUGGGCGCCAGGAUGUUCCUGCCCAGUGCGUGUCCAGAAUAGCCGCUCAGACACCGGCUCCAGAAGAACUAGGUAGCCUGUUCCCACUCAGAAACUCAUUCCACAUGGUUUGGGUGGUCCUACCACUGCCCUCACCCGCGUCAACAAAGGAGUGGGAACCGAACUCAGGCCCUGCCCAUCAGAUCAUCGAAUUCCUCUGGCCACAGUGAUUGGGUUGUGAUCAGUUAGGAUUCUGCACUUGUGACUGAAAAAUCCUUGUACAGGAACCAACCUUCUGGAAACUUCUCCCAUGUGUCAGGCCCACAGCACCUAGCACUGGAUGAGACACAUCACAAAUCCUGGACAAACUCUUGCUGAAACCAUGACAUGUCGAUGGCCCUUCACAGAAGACUUCACAAAAGGCUUCCCAUAACCCUAUUAAUGGAAAAAGGUGACGUGGGCAGAGUAUGCAGUUGUACCUGUUGAAAUAAACAUGCUCUUUG